GGGUAAUUAUUAUGCGUGGAAUAAAGGCCUCGAAAGAAUUUUACCGAGGGUCUGUGAGUGGGCACAGAUCACCUCGGAGCGCUUCAGUAAGGUGAUCACUGUGUUAGGUGCGCCCCUUCACAGUGAGUAAACUAUCCUUUCCCAUAUAUGUACUACGUGCUAUUGAAUAAUCUUUAGUAGGCAGUCUUGAGCAUUUCAGUGUAACUGGGAGAAGUUUAUUCGUUCAUGUAAUGCUUCUGUAGUGACUGUUUGGUUACUAUUUGUGUGUCCCUCUUAUCUUAGGGAGAAAAAAGAACAAUUUGUCUAUGUGUGUCCAAUGCAUGUAUUCCUUUCCGACCUGUAAGAUGGUUAUUUGUCCUGGUAUGCUAUCUUUGGAGCUGCUGAAAGAACCCGAGUCGUGAAAAUUCAAACAAACUUGCAUCUCUAUAUGUACAUUUGCCAACUCUUGAAAGAAGUGAAGCUGUAAUGGGAGCUCACUGGUAACAAAACUUACACCACAAAAUUUAUGUAUCGUUGGCUUUCCUAUCUGGGAGUCCAAACCCCAUAUUUGGUCAAAUCUGGAAGCUAAAAAUUCCUUUGAAGAUUUUGGUUUUAACAUGAUAGGUUGUCCAUGAUAGAAUAGAAUCCCUACAAAAGAACAAGUACUUCAUAGGCAUGGGCCUACUGAUAGCAAGUGUCCCCUGUGCAGGGAAACCGAAACAACUGAUCAUGUUUUCUUUUGUUUUCUCAUUGCUGUCUUUGUCUGCUCCUUCUGUUCGGGAGGUUUUGGGUUGGAAUUGGCACCCUCCAUCAGUCCAAGACAUGAUUACAUGGCUGAAAUCUGAGCCGACUGGGAGCAUUGAUUAUCUUUGCAUUGGUAUGUACAGCGGUUCGGUGGGCUCUUUGGAACAUCCAACUGACUGACGUUAUCUCUCACACAUUACUUUUCCUGCAGCAAUGGAGGCUUCUUUGGCCCAGCAAGACGCAGGAUCUCUUCACCACCAUCAUUAGCGAGUGCCGUCAUCGCCUUCUGAUUAUUAGGAGUAGAUCUUAAUUACUGGGAUGCUAUGCCGCUCAGAUUCUGUAAUCCCCUGAUGUUUUUAACCUCACUGUAUCCUGAUCCUGGAGUGAGUUAGUAUGUGUCUCUGUUAGGAAGUCUUGCACUCCGUUCUCUUCACUGUGAUUAUUCCAAUGUAGUAACUGGUACCCUCCCCCACAAAGUAAACUUUGUUACCUUUUGCUCCAAUGAA
rnacentral:lncRNA from 1 species